rnacentral:rRNA from 1 species
CACGUAGGGGGCGAGCGUUGUCCGGAUUUAUUGGGCGUAAAGAGCUCGUAGGCGGUUCGAUAAGUCGGGUGUGAAAACUCUGGGCUCAACUCAGAGACGCCACCCGAUACUGUUGUGACUUGAGUCCGGUAGGGGAGUAUGGAAUUCCCGGUGUAGCGGUGAAAUGCGCAGAUAUCGGGAGGAACACCAGUGGCGAAGGCGGUACUCUGGGCCGGAACUAACGCUGAGGAGCGAAAGCGUGGGUAGCGAACAGG